GUGUCAGUGAGCUCGUAUUUAGUGAGCUUGUGUGUGUCAGUGAACUUGUAUUUAGUGAGCAUGUGUUUGUCAGGGAGCUUGUCUGAAGUAAGCUUGUGUGUGUCACUGAGCGUAUCUGUUUGUGAACUAAUGUAUGUUCUAUGAUAUAGACCCAACUCUUUGACUGAAGCACAUCUGCACAAGAAAUUCCUAUAUUUGUACUUGUACUGAAGUG